CCACAGUUCCUCUGUGUUGUCCUGUCUGGAGGAGAGAAUCAGGUGAUGACCAGUCAGACACAGGGUCCCCUCCACCGUGGGCAUGAAAGGCCGAUGUAGGACAACGCCAUCCACCCUGGGUGUCUUUAUCAACUCUGCAAACUCCAUGAGUAGACCUGAAGAAACUAUUCAGUUCCAGUAUUGGAAACACACGUCAGUUUCUCUUCUGCUUUUCUGUGUAAUCCACCAACAUGAAGGAUGCAGGAUUUACAUCGGAAAUAAAGCCAGCGAAAAGGAAUCACUGCCCCGACAGCUCUGCAGAGCUGAUUCUGCAUCUAGUGUGCCACUCAAAAGGCAUCCUGGAGGCCCUGAGGAAGAAGAGAAAAUGAAGGCUCAUCAGACGAAACAGGUUUCAUGUGCUGGUACCUUGCACACAACUAUACUGUCUUGUGUGCAUUCAAUCACAU